AUUACCCGCAUUGCGCAUUGCACGGUGUCGUUUUAAUUAUUAUUGCAAUUAUUUUAAAGUUGUCCCUUACAGUAGUUUAAGAUGGAGCCGUAUCGGUUGGACAUCCACCUUCGUGGCGGGGCCCUGCUCCAAGCUGCUUUAACCAUCGAGAAGUUUCUUGAAUUAAAGUCAGAUUUUGCUGUAACAGGAGAAUAUGCUAAAUUACUGUUAGAGACGGAAGUAUUCAAUGGAACAUUAAACGAAAAAAAACACUACUAUCGACCACAUUGAACUCUACGAUCAUGAAACGAUGGUUAAUUUCCUGGAGGAUGGAAUCCUGGAGGAUCUGCCGGAUGCAGAGUUAUUCCAUGAUGACCUGGAACCACCCAUGCCGGAAUUUGAUGAACAUGAAGAAAGGUCAACUUAUUGGACGCGGGUUCUUAAUUACAAGUAUGUUCUGCGGCACAAUGAAGGUUCUGAUCCAGAAAUUGAGUUAGUCACAAAUGCAACAGAGUUACUCAUACAUAUAUAUGGCAGUGAUCAUGUCCAACAUAUGGUCAAAUCCCGAUCCAAAAAAGUGGCGUACAUAUGGAUGAAUGUGGCGGAGCAACUGGCCAAACAUGGUUUUCCUAUUCCAGCAAAACCAGGAAAAACGAUCGGCAAACAGUGUGACGACAAGUUUCGAGGUAUAAAGAACAAGUAUCAAUCUCAUUUGGCGCCAAAAACUGGGCAAGCAAGAACGAAGAAGCCUCCAUACUUUGACCUGAUGCAUAAAUACUUUGGCGACAAACAGAUCUCAGUACCUACUUGUCUAAAUGAUUCGCUUGCACGAAGGGUGCGUGAUCGUAGUCCAAUUGUAUCAGCACACAAGCCCUCCACUCCGCCCGUUCCCACUACUUCUGCCACCUCCAACACUGCUGCAGCCUCCUCUUCUCCAACCUCCUCUUCUCCUGCGUCCUCUUCUCCUGCGUCCUCUUCUCCUGCCAUUCUUAACAAAUCACGCUUUCAGGCAAAGUCUGUACUUAAGCCCAAACCAGCAACUACAGGGGAUGUUUUAAAUUUGAUUGAAAAAACUAACGAAACAUCCAAAAAUCAAACCGAAUUGUCUCUACAAACUUUAAAGCAAAUGCACGAACAAGAUUAUAACCAAAUGGAACGGUUCCUAAGAAUGUAUUCCGAAGCUAACAAUUUAGGAAACUUCGAUGAGAACAAAGAAAAUUAAUCUGGCCGACCAGUCGAAUGUUGCUCGUUUCUUAACUCAUGAUAAGAAUAUUUGAUCUUUAUCAUUAAUUUUUCCUCAUUAUUUUUCUACCUAUUAUUUUCUUAGUCGUUAUUUUCUUAAGUUAUGUUUUUUUUUACCAAUUACCAGUAUUACCAGUAUUUCUUUGUUAGGAUGGACACUGUGCUCAGUUACUUUCUAAAUGUGUGCUCAAAUUCAGCAAUACCGUGCUAAAGUGCAAUGAUCUAUUCAAAAAGUGACGGUUGUUCAGGAGCACUUUUCAAUUUAUUAAGAUCCUUCUGAUAAUGAAAAAUCUAUUUUCUUAGGUUUACCUUCUUGUUUUAGACUGUGGUGCAAAUGAUCUAAAGUUUAGGUAGAUUCAGUCAAAUUUUAAGUUUUGUCGACAGCAUUAUUAUUCAUAGAAGACCUUUAAUUUAUAUACGGGCUGUUGUAUGUUGUACUUGCUUAUUUUUCUUUUUUUGUAAUAUUCUUAAAUUUCCUAUUUUUUUCCUAGCAAUUUGCCCAAUUUAGUUUGAAAACCAUCUAUAAGUGUUCAUAUUUUUACACUUUUGAUUUAUUCUUUUUAUCAAAAGUAUGCUUAGUUGACUGCUCCAACUUCUUUAUUAUGAUAAAAUGAGGUUCUCUCUUUAGAUUUCUCUUUAGAUUUCUUGAGUAGUUAAAGACAGUGGUGGAAAGAGCAUGCCGAACGGUUGUAAAGUUCUGAAAAGUAAAGUAGAAUGUUACUUUUCAGGCAUUGUUUGACCUGGUAGAACUCCUAUGCUAAUCUGGUCAUGUCUUGUCAUUAUGAAAUUUUUCUUAAGCAUAUUUCUAUUUAUUUUUUUCUACUUAAAACAUAAUUUCAUUGAUGGGUUCUUUUACAAUUAGGAGUUUUGUGACUGGUUGUUUCUCUUAAUAGGUAUCCACUUUUAAAGGAGCCUUUUUCCGUUCUUCGUUUUUCCUUAACUAUUUUUCAGUCAUUUACUUAAUAUAUUCAUUUAGCAAUUGUCAAUUUAUGCUCUCUUUAACAAAGGGAGUUAGUUAAUUUUUUUUUGUUUUAGGUUUACUGAUAUUCAGCAUAACCAUGUAAAUGCGUUCUUGUUCUAAAAUUUCAUUACAUUUCUUGUUUCA
rnacentral:lncRNA from 1 species